rnacentral:lncRNA from 1 species
ACAAGAGCACAGCCCGACUGAAACAAAAUUAUUAUAGUUUAGCCACAUCUUGAUCGGAUUCGCUGGAAUCUUCUGCCGAAAAUCAUGGAAAACUGCAACUCACCUGGAUAUUGGUUAUGCAGCCUUCACACACCAGCAGAAUCUGGAGGAAUGGCACAAACUAUCACUUUAAUGAAUGAACAGUUCCAACAACUACUGGAAAAUCUUUGGAUCAACGGCACUCCUGCAACGGAACACAGAACACUUCCCCCUGCCCAGGUAGGCAACUUCUCAAAGUGUUGUUCUAGAUUCAAUGGUACGAAGGA